AUUGAACGCUGGCGGCAUGCCUUACACAUGCAAGUCGAACGGCAGCACGGGAGCAAUCCUGGUGGCGAGUGGCGAACGGGUGAGUAAUAUAUCGGAACGUGCCCAGUCGUGGGGGAUAACGUAGCGAAAGUUACGCUAAUACCGCAUACGAUCUAAGGAUGAAAGCGGGGGGAUCGCAAGACCUCGCGCGAUUGGAGCGGCCGAUAUCAGAUUAGGUAGUUGGUGAGGUAAAGGCUCACCAAGCCGACGAUCUGUAGCUGGUCUGAGAGGACGACCAGCCACACUGGGACUGAGACACGGCCCAGACUCCCUACGGGAGGCAGCAGUGGGGAAUUUUGGACAAUGGGCGGCAAGCCUGAUCCAGCAAUGCCGCGUGCAGGAUGAAGGCC
rnacentral:rRNA from 1 species